rnacentral:rRNA from 1 species
AUACGUAGGUGGCAAGCGGUUGUCCGGAAUUAUUGGGCGUAAAGCGCGCGCAGGCGGGAUAUCAAGUCUGUCUUAAAAGUGCGAGGGCUCAACCUCGUGAGGGGACAGAAACUGGUAUUCUUGAGUGUCGGAGAGGAAAGUGGAAUUCCAAGUGUAGCGGUGAAAUGCGUAGAGAUUUGGAAGAACACCAGUGGCGAAGGCGACUUUCUGGACGAUGUCUGACGCUGAGGCGCGAAAGCUAGGGGAGC